UCUCCUGUGACGCAGUGGUUAGCGUAUCGUUCUUAUAUGUUGAACCCCGUUCAGGGAUCAAGUAUGACCUUAGAUACUUGCGACUAAGGGAUGCGAAAGUCGCCGGUUCGAUCCCGGCCAGGAGAA